ensembl:lncRNA
CUGCCGCCGACGCCGCCGUCGCCAUCUUGGGUCGGUCUGUUCCCUUCCGAGCUGCCGAGAAUCCUUCCGCUGCCCCGGCUCCCGGCCCCGGCCGCGCCGAGGGGCACUGUCGGGGCCUCUCGGCGGAUCCCGGGGCGGGGGGGCCGGGGGGGGGGGGGGUGGGGAAGGGGGGGGGCUGUGAAGCUGCGGGCGGUUCCGGCUCGUGGGGGAGGAAAAAGUCCCUCAGGCGAGGUGGCGGAAAGGUACUAGGGAAGGUAAACAAAAGCCGGAUCUUCUUGAGCCUGUAGCUGGUCGUGCACGUUUAAAAGCCAGAGCUGCGCAGGCGCCCUGAAGGAGCCAGGAAGCGAGAGGGCCAGGGAUAGGGAGGGGAGAGGCGGGGCCAGGGAUAGGGAGGGGAGAGGCGGGGCCAGGCCGGGAGAAAGGGGCGGGGGCAGCGGGAGGAGGCCAGAAGAGAGGGGCGGGGCGAAGGGGAUGGAAGACUGAGAGAAGGGGAGGGAGGAGGAGGAAGGAGGGAUCCCCGGGAUAAGGGAGAGUGCAGCCAGCCUGCUUUCCUGGGCCCUGCAGUGACAGUGUGGCCCCCACGGUGGGAAUAGGGGAGGCAGGAAACCUGGGUUCAGGGCCCCUCCUCUCAGUGUCUCCUCUCCAGUUUGUGCAGGCUAAUACUAAAAUAUCUGGAGUGAAGAAUGAAUGGAGGAAGGAAGGAAGGAAUGAAUGAAUAAAGGCCAGGCAACCAGCAAAACGACAGAUUAUGCAGUGGUCCCAACUGGCUGGCUGAGGAGCUUCAGUGGGCCUCAACCCACACCCGAUUCCCAGCCAGCCUCUUGGGCCCUUCCGACCCACCAAAGGCACAGCUAGUCUGAGGAGAAGUCAGCUCCCCGACGGUCCCAGUCCGCCCAGGCCCAAGAAACACACGGGAGGCAAGAUGAGCACAGGCCAAAGACAGGGGCGUUUAUAAGACAUCAAAUAUACAUUCUUAUGUACAACAAAGAGAAGAAAAAGAACAGACCAGGCCCAACCAAGACAAUGAGGCCCCUCCCUCAGACUUUGGCCCAGCACUUUUCCAGCCCCAUCUGUGCAGAGAAGGGACUGGGCCCCUUGUCCACUCCCUGUAGGCAACUGGGGCCAGGUAGGCAGGGAAGAUCGGCAAGGACUGCAGGGACAUGCGGGCAGGAAGGGAGCAAGAGGACAGGCAGAACAUGUCCUAGGAGCAUCCAAGGCCAACCCAGGAGGUGGGGAAGAUCUCCCCCAACCCCGUCACUUGGACAUCACCAGAAUCACUUCCCUGGAAAAUUGGAGUGGAAAGAGAGAAUGGGAAAGAAGGACAGACGGACAGACAGAAGGAGCAGAGACAGAGGGGGCUCAUGUCUCGCCAUUGUUCCUUCCCAGAAGGGGCAGCUAGGGGUUGGACAGGCACAGGAGGCAGAUGGAGACAGCAGAGGAAAAGGAGAGAGGCAAGAGGAGUUAGAGAGGGACAGGAGAAAGAGUGAGACAGCGCACGGCCCCUCCUGGUUCCCUUGCAUUGCCCUGUGGCCCUCACUCCCUGCACUGUUCCGGCUAGUUCCUGUAAGGGAAGACCUUUCUAACCCUUCAGACGUUGGAGACUUGCUCGUAUGGCUGGAUCGUAUGGCUGUUGUCCCAAGGCACAGACUGGCUGACUAUGGACUCUCGGAGGUCAGACGUGAAGCGAAGGCGGUCUUGCAGGCUGGGUGCGUUGAAAAUGAUGAGCACCUUCCGCUCCCCACCGGGCACUGCAGAAAGCAGUUUGAUGCCAAACUGGUAAUCUGUCAGGUGCCAGGGAGAAAAAGGGACACAGGCAUUGUCAGGGUAGAAAACCUCCAGGCUCAUCCUUUCCACUCUGAACUGGAGUCUGCCCUCAGAAUGCUUGCGAUCCAGGCAAGAAUCCAUAGCAAGAGCUGGCCCUUCAGCAUCUCCACUCACUGA